rnacentral:rRNA from 1 species
UGGGGAAUUUUGGACAAUGGGCGAAAGCCUGAUCCAGCAAUGCCGCGUGAGUGAAGAAGGCCUUCGGGUUGUAAAGCUCUUUUGUCAGGGAAGAAACGGUGAGGGCCAAUAUCCCUUGCUAAUGACGGUACCUGAAGAAUAAGCACCGGCUAACUACGUGCCAGCAGCCGCGGUAAUACGUAGGGUGCAAGCGUUAAUCGGAAUUACUGGGCGUAAAGCGUGCGCAGGCGGUUUUGUAAGUCUGAUGUGAAAUCCCCGGGCUCAACCUGGGAAUUGCAUUGGAGACUGCAAGGCUAGAAUCUGGCAGAGGGGGGUAGAAUUCCACGUGUAGCAGUGAAAUGCGUAGAUAUGUGGAGGAACACCGAUGGCGAAGGCAGCCCCCUGGGUCAAGAUUGACGCUCAUGCACGAAAGCGUGGGGAGCAAACA